GAAAGGCCAAUCAAACCGGGAGAUAGCUGGUUCUCCCCGAAAGCUAUUUAGGUAGCGCCUCGUGAACUCAUCUCCGGGGGUAGAGCACUGUUUCGGCAAGGGGGUCAUCCCGACUUACCAACCCGAUGCAAACUGCGAAUACCGGAGAAUGUUAUCACGGGAGACACACGGCGGGUGCUAACGUCCGUCGUGAAGAGGGAAACAACCCAGACCGCCAGCUAAGGUCCCAAAGUCAUGGUUAAGUGGGAAACGAUGUGGGAAGGCCCAGACAGCCAGGAUGUUGGCUUAGAAGCAGCCAUCAUUUAAAGAAAGCGUAAUAGCUCACUGGUCGAGUCGGCCUGCGCGGAAGAUGUAACGGGGCUAAACCAUGCACCGAAGCUGCGGCAGCGACGCUUAUGCGUUGUUGGGUAGGGGAGCGUUCUGUAAGCCUGUGAAGGUGUGCUGUGAGGCAUGCUGGAGGUAUCAGAAGUGCGAAUGCUGACAUAAGUAACGAUAAAGCGGGUGAAAAGCCCGCUCGCCGGAAGACCAAGGGUUCCUGUCCAACGUUAAUCGGGGCAGGGUGAGUCGACCCCUAAGGCGAGGCCGAAAGGCGUAGUCGAUGGGAAACAGGUUAAUAUUCCUGUACUUGGUGUUACUGCGAAGGGGGGACGGAGAAGGCUAUGUUGGCCGGGCGACGGUUGUCCCGGUUUAAGCGUGUAGGCUGGUUUUCCAGGCAAAUCCGGAAAAUCAAGGCUGAGGCGUGAUGACGAGGCACUACGGUGCUGAAGCAACAAAUGCCCUGCUUCCAGGAAAAGCCUCUAAGCAUCAGGUAACAUCAAAUCGUACCCCAAACCGACACAGGUGGUCAGGUAGAGAAUACCAAGGCGCUUGAGAGAACUCGGGUGAAGGAACUAGGCAAAAUGGUGCCGUAACUUCGGGAGAAGGCACGCUGAUAUGUAGGUGAAGUCCCUCGCGGAUGGAGCUGAAAUCAGUCGAAGAUACCAGCUGGCUGCAACUGUUUAUUAAAAACACAGCACUGUGCAAACACGAAAGUGGACGUAUACGGUGUGACGCCUGCCCGGUGCCGGAAGGUUAAUUGAUGGGGUUAGCGGUAACGCGAAGCUCUUGAUCGAAGCCCCGGUAAACGGCGGCCGUAACUAUAACGGUCCUAAGGUAGCGAAAUUCCUUGUCGGGUAAGUUCCGACCUGCACGAAUGGCGUAAUGAUGGCCAGGCUGUCUCCACCCGAGACUCAGUGAAAUUGAACUCGCUGUGAAGAUGCAGUGUACCCGCGGCAAGACGGAAAGACCCCGUGAACCUUUACUAUAGCUUGACACUGAACAUUGAGCCUUGAUGUGUAGGAUAGGUGGGAGGCUUUGAAGUGUGGACGCCAGUCUGCAUGGAGCCGACCUUGAAAUACCACCCUUUAAUGUUUGAUGUUCUAACGUUGACCCGUAAUCCGGGUUGCGGACAGUGUCUGGUGGGUAGUUUGACUGGGGCGGUCUCCUCCUAAAGAGUAACGGAGGAGCACGAAGGUUGGCUAAUCCUGGUCGGACAUCAGGAGGUUAGUGCAAUGGCAUAAGCCAGCUUGACUGCGAGCGUGACGGCGCGAGCAGGUGCGAAAGCAGGUCAUAGUGAUCCGGUGGUUCUGAAUGGAAGGGCCAUCGCUCAACGGAUAAAAGGUACUCCGGGGAUAACAGGCUGAUACCGCCCAAGAGUUCAUAUCGACGGCGGUGUUUGGCACCUCGAUGUCGGCUCAUCACAUCCUGGGGCUGAAGUAGGUCCCAAGGGUAUGGCUGUUCGCCAUUUAAAGUGGUACGCGAGCUGGGUUUAGAACGUCGUGAGACAGUUCGGUCCCUAUCUGCCGUGGGCGCUGGAGAACUGAGGGGGGCUGCUCCUAGUACGAGAGGACCGGAGUGGACGCAUCACUGGUGUUCGGGUUGUCAUGCCAAUGGCACUGCCCGGUAGCUAAAUGCGGAAGAGAUAAGUGCUGAAAGCAUCUAAGCACGAAACUUGCCCCGAGAUGAGUUCUCCCUGACUCCUUGAGAGUCCUGAAGGAACGUUGAAGACGACGACGUUGAUAGGCCGGGUGUGUAAGCGCAGCGAUGCGUUGAGCUAACCGGUACUAAUGAACCGUGAGGCUUAACCUUACAACGCCGAAGCUGUU
rnacentral:rRNA from 1 species